rnacentral:rRNA from 1 species
GCUGUAUGUGGGUUAGUCCGCACGAGCGCACCUGUCUAUCUGUUACAGCACGUUAGGUGGGGACUCAGAUGGAACUGCCGGUGACAAACCGGAGGAAGGUGGGGACGACGUCAAGUCAUCAUGGCCCUUAUGUCCUGGGCUACACACGUGCUACAAUGGCCGGUACAAAGCGGAGCUAAGCGGUGACGCCAAGCGAAUCGCAAAAAGCCGGUCUCAGUACGGAUUGGAGUCUGAAACCCGACUCCAUGAAGUUGGAAUCGCUAGUAAUCGCGCAUCAGCAUGGCGCGGUGAAUACGUUCCCGGGCCUU